UNUGACUUGAGUGCAGAAGGGGAGAGUGGAAUUCCAUGUGUAGCGGUGAAAUGCGUAGAUAUAUGGAGGNACACCAGUGGCGAAGGCGGCUCUCUGGUCUGUCACUGACGCUGAGGCUCGAAAGCGUGGGUAGCGAACAGGAUUAGAUACCCUGGUAGUCCACGCCGUAAACGAUGAGUGCUAGGUGUUAGGCCCUUUCCGGGGCUUAGUGCCGGAGCUAACGCAAUAAGCACUCCGCCUGGGGAGUACGACCGCAAGGUUGAAACUCAAAGGAAUUGACGGGGGCCCGCACAAGCGGUGGAGCAUGUGGUUUAAUUCGAAGCAACGCGAAGAACCUUACCAGGUCUUGACAUCCCGAUGCUAUUCUUAGAGAUAGGAAGUUACUUCGGUACAUCGGAGACAGGUGGUGCAUGGUUGUCGUCAGCUCGUGUCGUGAGAUGUUGGGUUAAGUCCCGCAACGAGCGCAACCCUUAUUGUUAGUUGCCAUCAUUAAGUUGGGCACUCUAGCGAGACUGCCGGUAAUAAACCGGAGGAAGGUGGGGAUGACGUCAAAUCAUCAUGCCCCUUAUGACCUGGGCUACACACGUGCUACAAUGGUCGGUACAACGAGUUGCGAGCCGGUGACGGCAAGCUAAUCUCUGAAAGCCGAUCUCAGUUCGGAUUGGAGGCUGCAACUCGCCUCCAUGAAGUCGGAAUCGCUAGUAGUCGCGGAUCAGCACGCCGCGGUGAAUACGUUCCCGGGCCUUGUACACACCGCCCGUCACACCACGAGAGUUUGUAACACCCGAAGUCGGUGAGGUANCCUUUUAGGG
rnacentral:rRNA from 1 species